UACCAUGUGGGGGCGUAAAAGGCAAGCGACGCCUGUUAAAUAUAAAUUCAUUAAUUCACUGACACGACCAGGGUGUCAACAUGCGAAUGUAACAGAAAAACAAGUUAAGAUAUCGAAUCAUUCAUUCGCUGACUCGACCAGGGUGUCAAAAUGAGAAUGUAAUAGAAAAGCAGCUUUUAAAAGACUGAUGACGGUGAUGACAGACCCGCUGUCACAGCCCUAUGAUGAACUGAACCGAUUGAUAAUAAAGCAGACGGACAGUGAUUAUUUUAGUCACUUGGUGCACGAAUCUCUGCAGCCUGCACAGCCACUGAAGAAGAUGGACACUGAGGAGAAGAGAAAGAGGAGAAGAAAGUCACAGAGCUUUAAACUCGUCAAAGGUGAAGAGUUUGGCCCCUCACAUGUGACUCAUUCCAGUUGUAAAGACACCUAUGGAGAGCAGGAUGCUGCUGUGCCAGAUGUUUGGCCGGGUGAUGACAGCAUGGAGAUCAAGAAGCAAAUCACUGGUAUGAUGAGGCUUCUAGGCGACAAGACCAGCAGAGUGUAUCAGCGCGUGGAAAAAGAACAAGACAGAGUAUCAAAAACAUCCCCGGAUGUGACCGACGUAGAGCCUGCAGCUUCUUCUGCUCAAUCAAAGAACCGGCGGAUGAACAGCUGCGACUCCACUGGGAAUGUAACGCCUUCUGCUUUGUCCAGAGCCACUCCAAUUCUUCACGGUCCCACCUGCAGCUACUCCAGCAAGGAUAUGAUGAUUAAAGUGGAUGAUGCUCAUGAUGUAGUUCCAGUACUUGUUGCAUCAGGAGCCCCUUGCUGUGUGUGCAAUUGCAAAGGCACAUUGCAGGCCAUUCUGCAGGAGCUGCGUACCAUGAGGAGGCUAAUGCAGGCCCAGAGAGUAUCAUCUGACCAGCCAUGUCAACCUCGCCUUGGUCCUGGUUCUUCUCCUUACCACAGGCCCAGGAAGUGGAGGCCAAUCUUUAAAGUGGCAAAGAGGGUUGUUGCUUCCCCUUUGGAGGUAUCACCGCUGACUGCUGCACCCACAGAAGCCGUAAAGAAAGAAGAAUGUGGGGAAAUUUCACUCUCAUCUAUUGGUUCCACUGAGAUCUGUGUGCAGCCACAGCAUAGUAACCUAGCAAGUAUCAACAAACACACAAAAGUGAAGGCACCUCAGGCCACUGAAGUACAGUCGGAGGUGCGCCUUGCUGAGGAUUAUGACGUUUUUAUCUCCAAGGCUCAACUAGACUCCAUAUUAGUCAACUACACACGCUCUGGAAGCCUCCUGUUCAGGAAACUGGUGUGUGCCUUCUUUGAUGAUGCAACCCUAGCUAUCUCCUUGCCCAAUGGGAAAAGGAAGAGGGGGCUUAAUGAUAACAGGAAAGGCCUGGACCAGAAUAUUGUUGGCGCCAUUAAAGCGUUUACAGAGAAAUACUGCAACGAGCACAGAAUAGAGAAGCUCCCCGGGCCACGGGAUUGGGUUCAGAUCCUUCAAGAUCAAAUCAAACUUGCCAGGAGGAGACUGAAAAGAGAUGCUGCAGAAGACGUCUUAAAUGGACCCUCAUCAUCUUGUGAUAAGAGCAUACCUCCAAGUGUGGGAGGGACACCACUGAUGGACCUGACUGGCUGAUUGGAGGGCAACCCCCAUGACCUGCGAUUGUUUGCAUUCCUUUACUACAUGCGUUGUCAUUCACCGCCAACAACUGCUUUGUACUUCAUUAUCAUUUCAUCCAAAACACCAUGAAUACAAAACAAAGGCAAGAUCUACAAAUGUCAUAGUGUUUGUUUCUGUUGCACAAAUUAUACUUUAAGUCAGGGUUAUUCAAUAAUUGUUCUGGGGGGCACAUUUUCAGAAUGCUCUGGACUUUUUUUAAAUAAAUAUACUUUGGCCACACAUCGGGAAGACCUGGGUUCCCAGUUGCUUGGACAUCUCUAUGUGGAGUUUGCAUGUUCUCCCUGUGCGUGGAGUUUCCUCCCACAUUCCAAAAACAUGUUAAUUUGUUAAUUGGCGAGUCCAAAUUGUCUAUAGGUAUGAAUGUGAGUGUGAAUGGUUGUUUGUCUAUAUGUGCCCUGUGACUGGCUGGCAACCAGUCCAGGGUGUACCCCGCCUCCCACUCAAAAACAGCUGGGAUAGGCUCCAGCAUACCCAGCUAAUGAGGAUAAGCGGCAAAGAAAAUGUAUGCAUGGACCACCUGCAAAAAAACAAAAACAUUUGUCAUAGAUCAUUAAGACAAGAAUACUCUGAUCUUUUAAGUACCUUCCUCUAUACAACACAAACUCCUGUUUUUAAGUACCUACAGCAAAAUGUGAGACAAAGAUCCUUUAUUUGACAGGAGCGCUCUGCUGUUUUUAAGUACCGUCCUCGAUACAACACAAGCCCUCUCCUGUUUUUCAGUACCUGCUGCAAAAACGUUAACUAACCACAAGACAAACUAAUGUACUGCAAAAAUUCCAGUCCUCUAUAUGACGGAAUGCACAACUAUGUGUAAAGAAACAGAAAACAAAUUGUAGAUCUACUGGAAAAAAUAAAAACGCUAGUCAAAGAUCUAUGUGCAAGGAGUGCUGUGCUGUUUAUAAUACUUUACAUACUGCAAAUGUGCUAGACAAAGAUCCUCUAAAUGACAGGAGUGCGCUGCUGUCUUUGAAGGCCUAUUACAAAAAAGCCAGUCUAUAUAGUAAUGCCCUGGUGUUUUUAGGUACUGUAUGUGCUGCAAAAAUAUUGGUUACUGUCAAGUUUUGAACUGAACUUGUGAGCCAGUCAGGAGUCAUUCCUGGACAGGGGUUUGGCCCUUGGGGCUGUGGAACCGCCCUGCUGUUCAACGCAAGAUAGGCAUCAGCCAAGGACACCUAAUUGAAGGACCGACGCAAGCCGCCGCUGUCCCCGCUCUUGUGUCGGGAUCUGGCGCUGACUUGAAGCUGG